ensembl:snoRNA
ACUUUUGUCUUUCACAAGUGUGAUGACUGGGUGUUCAGCCACUGUGUGGGAUGUGCCUCUCUCAAACCUUGUCACAACAUAAUUGUCACCUUACCCAUCUGGGA